UUUACUUCGGUAAGAGCGGCGGACGGGUGAGUAACGCGUGGGUAACCUACCCUGUACACACGGAUAACAUACCGAAAGGUAUGCUAAUACGGGAUAAUAUAUUUGAGAGGCAUCUCUUAAAUAUCAAAGGUGAGCCAGUACAGGAUGGACCCGCGUCUGAUUAGCUAGUUGGUAAGGUAACGGCUUACCAAGGCGACGAUCAGUAGCCGACCUGAGAGGGUGAUCGGCCACAUUGGAACUGAGACACGGUCCAAACUCCUACGGGAGGCAGCAGUGGGGAAUAUUGCACAAUGGGCGAAAGCCUGAUGCAGCAACGCCGCGUGAGUGAUGAAGGCCUUCGGGUCGUAAAACUCUGUCCUCAAGGAAGAUAAUGACGGUACUUGAGGAGGAAGCCCCGGCUAACUACGUGCCAGCAGCCGCGGUAAUACGUAGGGGGCUAGCGUUAUCCGGAUUUACUGGGCGUAAAGGGUGCGUAGGCGGUCUUUCAAGUCAGGAGUGAAAGGCUACGGCUCAACCGUAGUAAGCUCUUGAAACUGGGAGACUUGAGUGCAGGAGAGGAGAGUGGAAUUCCUAGUGUAGCGGUGAAAUGCGUAGAUAUUAGGAGGAACACCAGUUGCGAAGGCGGCUCUCUGGACUGUAACUGACGCUGAGGCACGAAAGCGUGGGGAGCAAACAGGAUUAGAUACCCUGGUAGUCCACGCUGUAAACGAUGAGUACUAGGUGUCGGGGGUUACCCCCUUCGGUGCCGCAGCUAACGCAUUAAGUAC
rnacentral:rRNA from 1 species